rnacentral:rRNA from 1 species
AUACGUAGGUGGCAAGCGUUAUCCGGAAUUAUUGGGCGUAAAGAGGGAGCAGGCGGCAGCAAGGGUCUGUGGUGAAAGCCUGAAGCUUAACUUCAGUAAGCCAUAGAAACCAGGCAGCUAGAGUGCAGGAGAGGAUCGUGGAAUUCCAUGUGUAGCGGUGAAAUGCGUAGAUAUAUGGAGGAACACCAGUGGCGAAGGCGACGAUCUGGCCUGCAACUGACGCUCAGUCCCGAAAGCGUGGGGAGCAAAUAGGAUUAGAUACCCUAGUAGUCCACGCCGUAAUCGAUGAGUACUAAGUGUUGGAUGUCAAAGUUCAGUGCUGCAGUUAACGCAAUAAGUACUCCGCCUGAGUAGUACGUUCGCAGGAAUGAAACUCAAAUGAAUUGGCGGGG